GUCCCCGUGACGACAUGGCGGCGGUGCGGGUGGCGUGGCAGCAUGUGGUCCACCAAGGGGAAAAAUACCCUUUACACUCACCUUCCCAGGAGGCUGAGUCUUUCACUGGGCUGGCAGUAGGUCUGUAUCAGCAGCACAAAGGUGAGAAACAGCAGCAUUCAGCUCCUCAUGCUCCAGUUUUCUUCUCUUUCUGGUCUACAGAGAUCAGGCUUGUUCUGCUGUGUCAGGUGUUAUCUCUCAGGGCCCCUGGGGCUGCUGGGAGGAGGUAUAAAAGCCCAGUGGCUUGAUUAAUGUAAUUAAGCCAAUCAAGACUGGCUUUGUUGCAGCUGCCAUCUGAGUGUGCAGCCCUUUGCUGCCAUGCAGCGCAAGCUGAGAGGCAGCACACAAUGAAUGGGAGUUUUAAUGUGGUUGAUGCCCCGCAGAGCACCUGCUUGUCAGCAUUGUUGAAGAUGAGCAAGAGUAGAAGGGAUUAGAAGUAGAUUGGAUGACAGCUCAUUGUGGAGACACAGCUCAUCUCAUAAGUGUGUUCGUCACAGAAGUAGACGUAGUGAAAGGAUAAUUGGUCUGUGUGCUUAUCUGGAGGUGUGCUGGGAUGGUUUUAAACUCGCAUCGGGUUGCUGGGAGCAGCUCACGUACACCAAAAGGUCACUAAAAAGGGACAGUGGAGAACCCUUCCCCAGAACAGAUGUAUCUUUUUGAGAUCUGCUUGAAUGCAUUUCCCAAGAUAAAUCCAUAGAUAACUCAUAGCUCACAGGGGUGUAUUCUUUGUGAGGGGAGAGUUGCAUAAGAUAUAUUUCUGUGUGAUGAGAAGUAGCAGUCUGCAUGAACAGCAUAUAAAGGUCUCAACCACCAAAGCCUCUAAGCUUGUACUUUAUUCUAAGGAAAGGUUUAAACAGCAUCUGCCUCCCAGAGUUUCUUGUCUCCAGUGGAACAACUCUCUGGCAAACACGUCCCUUUGUUUCUGAGGGGCAGGUUUCUGUUAUGCUAAGUUUAAGACAAAAAUUGCUUAUCUUAGAAAGGAAAACUCGUCCAGUUCUUGCUUUGUGGCUCGGUGCUGGUUUUUGUCAGAAGGGGUGGAGGAGAAACAAAGGCAGGACAAUCAGCUUGGAGGGUUGUUGCUAACGGCAUUCAAUGCUAUUUCCAUUUAGGAGGAAAACAUCGUGCAGAACCCUGGGCUUAUAUCGUCCCCCAGAGACAGCUUUGGCGAGAAGGCAGCUGUGAAGUUGGACCUCAAAGUGAAGAUCAGUUCUGUUCACUGAUGGGCUGGACCAGCAGACUUGACGACAGCAUACUUCCGUAGGAAAUAAAGGUUGGUAUAAAGAAAGGGAGGGGAUGUUACUACAGCCAGCGGAGUGGCAGCUUUGUCAAUACAGAUAGGUUCCAAAAAGCAGUCACAAGGAAAAGCACGUGGGGCUUUGGGCUUCCAAGGAGCAGGGGAAAAAAAAACAGAGUGUACUUUUGGUCUUAUAAGGGAGAAAUGUGUCCUCUUGACUCAAUAAUGCACAUCAUUGGGAGCUUUUCAGCUGAUGGUUGCUUCUUCUCUGGCCUUCUUUUCCACAGGACCUGAUCUGCAGCUGGCUGGAGGAAGGAGCAAGUGGUUCCUGCAGUCUGCUGCUUCAGAAUAAAACGAAUCAU
rnacentral:lncRNA from 7 species